UACGGAGGGUGCGAGCGUUGCUCGGAAUCACUGGGCGUAAAGCGUACGCAGGCUGUCGUACAAGUCGGGUGUGAAAGCCCGGGGCUCAACCCCGGAACUGCGCCCGAGACUGUAUGACUUGAAUGCGGGAGAGGGAAGCGGAAUUCCUGGUGUAGAGGUGAAAUUCGUAGAUAUCAGGAGGAACACCAGUGGCGAAAGCGGCUUCCUGGCCCGACAUUGACGCUCAUGUACGAAAGCGCGGGGAGCAAACAGGAUUAGAUACCCUGGUAGUCCGCGCCGUAAACGAUGAGUGCUAGCUGCUGGGAAUGUUUACCGUCUCAGUGGCGAAGCUAACGCAUUAAGCACUCCGCCUGGGAAGUACGGCCGCAAGGCUAAA
rnacentral:rRNA from 1 species